rnacentral:lncRNA from 1 species
AGGCCCCUAAGCUGUUGUUUGUGAACCAUAUUGAAAUUCGUGAGAGCUUGAAAAUGUCUCCCAAAUACAUGCUAGUGUUGUUGAUAGCAUUGGUUUUGGCAGUCUCGUCCCUUUCCCAUGGUCCAGUACACGGUUCAGUACACCCAAGGCCUCAUCCUCCUCCAAAAAUUACUCGAUACUCCGCGCCACAUAUACAUAAACCAAAACCACCAAACGUGGCAACAACAAACACCUAUGCAGCAAAGAAGCCUCCAACUAAAGGUUGAACUGUUAGGCUAUGAUCAAAGGUUUUGCAACGUCAAGGGAGUAUAUUACAACAGUAAUCGCAAUUUGAAACCUUGACUAGAGAUACUUUAAUGGCAUAUAGUAUUAAUUAAUGGUCAGUGCUAUGAGUAUGCAUGUAUGAUUAAAUAAUAGUUAGUUAGGAGUUUGUUUGAACUGUUGUAAUACCUUGUUAUGAGAGUCUCCAUCUGUGUGUUUUGAUUUCCACUUAUAUGCAUAGUUUGAUGUGUUCACGAUGUGCUCUCUCUUUUGUUUAUGUUUGUACAACAUUCUAAAGGCCACAAGAUAAGACAUGAGAGUUAAAUUGUUAAAUAAAAUUAAACAAGAUCGUGAUAAGAUAAUAAUAUGAUAAAUUCUUAAACUAUUCAACUUUAGAUACUAGAAUUUAGGUUUAAUUUGGGUCGAACCUAGCUUCAUAAAACUGGCUUAAAACUAUUAAGAACAUAUUAGAAUUUUUAAUAUCCGUCUCUAACAUAUUAGGAUAUUUAAUUUCCUAUAAUUGAUAACCAGAGACGGACUUAGAGACGGAUUUGUGACAUCAUCUGAAUGAAUUUUUUGGUUUCUAGCUUCCGUCUCUGAAAACGUUAGAUAAGGACAGACACGGAAAUAUAGAUGUUUUGUUUCCAUCUCUAAGUUCCGUCUUUAUAUCAAACUUUUCUAGUUGUUAACCCAUACCAAUAAUCUUUUUUGAAUUUCUUCAUGAGAAAGACUCGUGUGUUUUUUUUGCUUUAUCAAUUCUAUUUUCUAAAUUCCCAAAACAAGUCUUGUUCAACCACUUCAAAUUUUGUUUGAGAAUUUUAAGUUUUUCUUUGAGCACAUGUACUCUAGCUUGAAAUCUGCAACUUUUUCUAUUUAGUUUCCAUAACCUUUACAAAAACUUUACUUAUAAAAACUAUAUAUUAGUAAUCUUGAAUCUAAGAGACUUAAAGUUUGUUUCUUAAUAAUUUCUUAUCAUUGAAAUUUUUACGUAUAAAGGACCUAACUAUUGAGGGACCAAAAACCAGAUUCCAUAUAAGUUACAGCAUUUUUUGUGAGGGGUCGAUAUAAGUCACCCAAUUAACAUCGUGCAAAAAGACGCUAAUAGAAGGGUUAUAUGUCGUUUCCAUAAGUUAGAAACACAUUUUUAUUAGAAAAUUUCUGACAAUAAAUGUUAUAUGUUGUUUAUGGUACAUUUUACAGAGAGGAGUGUCCUAGGGGACAGGGAAAAAAGGUGGAACCAUGAAAAUUCAUUUUCACGCCCAAAUUAAUUAUCCAAGCACAAGUUAGUAUUAUUCAAAUUCCAAAAUAAUUAAUUGCAAUAGCUAUUAACAGUACACCAACAUGAAGCUGACAAAUUGGUUUUGAGGAUGCACCCUGAACUUAUUGCAUGUCUUCCUAUUGCGGCAUGGUAAUGAAAACUGGGCGCGGUUGAUAGAUAAGAACAAAGAAGUUAUUGGAAGGGCUGAUACGUGUUAUGGUUACAACACAGAUGGAGGAAAUACCCACAUGCAUGCAGGCAUCCUGGUUAUGCAUUUGAACUCAAGGAAGGUUACGUCAAUUUAAACCUCGAAAACAAUCGAGUUAUGACCCAUUCUUGGAUGGGAAUUCAAUGAAAGGUGUUGAUUUUGCACGUGGGGGGAUGAGUUUUACUUGGUAAACAACACCCAUCACAAACGUAACCUCCACUCUGAUUUCACCACUUCCAUGUUUGAUUUAUUAAAUAAGUGUUUGUACUUUAGUAUCCAUGUAUUUUUAUAAUGUUUAACUUAAUUUGUCACAUAAUAAGUAAAAGCUAUAGAUAUGCAAUUAGGAACUUUUAAAACCAAAUCAAAACAGUUUGUAAAUCGUAAAAUCCAUUAAAAAAAUAAAAAAUCAUAAAAAUAUAAAAUAUAAAAAAAAAUCGUAUCUUUUUUUUGGUUUGGUUAGUUUUUUAAUUUUGUUAAAAAAAAUAAACUAAAUCGGACAAAUCCACGAUAAAUAUUGAAUAAUCUUUUCAUUUGUUUUAUAAUUAAGAUAUAUAGAAAAUAGUAAUUUUUAACUUAAAAAUGUUAAAAAUAAAUAAAAUUUAUUUUAAAAGUAAUAUAAGAUAAUAAUGAUAUAACUUUAAUUGAAAAACUUUAAUUUAUGAUAAUGAAUUAAAAAAUAAAAAAACUGUAAAACCAAAUUAAAUCAAAUGAUAAAAAAUUAAUUUGAUUUGAUUUAGAUUUAAUAUAAUAUUUAAAUUGAAUCACAUUUUUAUUUUAUAUUUAAUUUAGAUGACUAUUUAUUUAAAAAAAAAAAACAAACAAACAAACAAAUUAAACCAUCCGACAAAGACUCACAUUUACAUAACCGCUUACCUGUAAAUGCCGUAUGCAAAUGCAG